rnacentral:rRNA from 1 species
GACGAACGCUGGCGGCGUGCUUAACACAUGCAAGUCGAACGGAAAGGCCCUGCUUUUGUGGGGUGCUCGAGUGGCGAACGGGUGAGUAACACGUGAGUAACCUGCCCUUGACUUUGGGAUAACUUCAGGAAACUGGGGCUAAUACCGGAUAGGAGCUCCUGCUGCAUGGUGGGGGUUGGAAAGUCUCGGCGGUUGGGGAUGGACUCGCGGCUUAUCAGCUUGUUGGUGGGGUAGUGGCUUACCAAGGCUUUGACGGGUCGCCGGCCUGAGAGGGUGACCGGCCGCAUUGAGACUGAGAGACGGCCCAGACUCCUACGGGAGGCAGCAGGGGGGAAUAUUGCACAAUGGGCGGAAGCCUGAUGCAGCAACGCCGCGUGCGGGAUGACGGCCUUCGGGUUGUAAACCGCUUUCGCCUGUGACGAAGCGUGAGUGACGGUAAUGGGUAAAGAAGCACCGGCUAACUACGUG